GAUUCCUAGGGGUCCACCCUCUCCCUGGAGAGAUGAAAACAGGGAGGAACGGAGGUUGCAGCUGCUCCAAAUCGUUCUCCAGAGGCUGCAGAGUUUCUACAGGAAUGAGCUGCACCAAGUGAUCCUUUGCCCACCACCUAAUCUCCAUCUUAUGGCCACAGAGCCCUUCACAGCGCAGGCCGUUCAGGAGAUGAAGAAGCUGAUGCAGCUUUUGCUUGGAAGUG